rnacentral:rRNA from 1 species
CAGCAGCCGCGGUUAUACUGAAAGGUAGAUUGAAAGAAAUUUGGUUAAAAACAGUUAGGUUAGUUAAUUAUUUUUUUUAUAAAUCUGUACUAAUAAAGGGUGAAAUCAGUUUUUUAGUAUACAGUGGAAUAGAAACUUUAAUUAUAGCUGAGGCUGUUAAGAUAAAGAGAUGAACCAGGAUUAGAUACCCUGUUACACUUUAUUUGAAUUGUUAUUACCUGGGUACUAAACAGUUAUUAUCUUGAAACUCAAAGGAUUUGGCGGUAACUUAGUCUAUUUAGAGGAACCUGUCCUGUAAUCGAUAGUCCACGAAGAAUCUUACUCUAUUUUGUAGAAAUACAGUUUGUAUACCGUCAUUAUUAGGUAACUUUUAUAAAAGAUAAAGUUACUAAAAUAGUUUUGCUAAUAUAUUAGAUCAAGGUGCAGCUUAUAGUAGAGGAAGAGAUGGGUUACAAUAUAGUAAAAUAAACGGAAUAACAGAUGAAUAUUCGUUAUAAAGGUGGAUUUAAAAGUAAGAAGAUUUUAAUAAGAUCUUUUGAUUUUAGCUCUAGGUUAUGUACACAUCGCCCGUCGCUCUCGUUAAUUAAAGCGAGAUAAGUCGUAACAAAGUAGGUGU